rnacentral:rRNA from 1 species
GAUGAGCGCUGGCGGCGUGCUUAACACAUGCAAGUCGAACGGAAAGGCCGAAGCUUGCUUCGGUACUCGAGUGGCGAACGGGUGAGUAACACGUGGGUGAUCUGCCCUGUACUUCGGGAUAAGCUUGGGAAACUGGGUCUAAUACCGGAUAUGACGAUCUCUUGGAUGGGGUUGUGGAAAGCUUUUGCGGUAUGGGAUGAGCUCGCGGCCUAUCAGCUUGUUGGUGGGGUAAUGGCCUACCAAGGCGUCGACGGGUAGCCGGCCUGAGAGGGUGUACGGCCACAUUGGGACUGAGAUACGGCCCAGACUCCUACGGGAGGCAGCAGUGGGGAAUAUUGCACAAUGGGCGCAAGCCUGAUGCAGCGACGCCGCGUGGGGGAUGACGGCCUUCGGGUUGUAAACUCCUUUCGCAAUCGACGAAGCCUUUUGGUGACGGUAGGUUGAGAAGAAGCACCGGCUAACUACGUG